GUGGGCCCCAUUGUCAAUGUUGCCGUGGCCUCCAGACUACAGAAGAAGCCAUGUUUCUCUGGAGCGACUCUUCUCCUUGAAGAGCUUUGCUGUGGUCACUAUGCUACAUGGACAGAGGACAGAACUGCUGGCCAUUGCUCUUGGUACAUAUGCACAUCCACAUCCACAUAUCUUUCAAUGAACUAACAAACUGUGUCCAGUAGCUGACUGUACAUGCCCUGAAGGGUGUGGAUGUACACAUAUCACACAUAUGCACACAAGUACACACGUACACACACACACACACACACACACACACACCUGCUGUGUUUCAGUCACUAUAUUGACCUUAGAUGUAUAGUGAAGAAGACAGCACUGUUCCCACCCUCAAGCAGCUGGUGCAAUGGAUGAGGUAUGUAUUUUUAAAAGCUGCCAAUUUCAGCA